AUUGAACGCUGGCGGCAGGCCUAACACAUGCAAGUCGAGCGGAUGAAGGGAGCUUGCUCCUGGAUUCAGCGGCGGACGGGUGAGUAAUGCCUAGGAAUCUGCCUGGUAGUGGGGGAUAACGUCCGGAAACGGGCGCUAAUACCGCAUACGUCCUGAUGGAGAAAGUGGGGGAUCUUCGGACCUCACGCUAUCAGAUGAGCCUAGGUCGGAUUAGCUAGUUGGUGGGGUAAAGGCCUACCAAGGCGACGAUCCGUAACUGGUCUGAGAGGAUGAUCAGUCACACUGGAACUGAGACACGGUCCAGACGCCUAAGGGAGGCAGCAGUGGGGAAUAUUGGACAAUGGGCGAAAGCCUGAUCCAGCCAGGCCGCGUGUGUGAAGAAGGUCUUCGGAUUGUAAAGCACUUUAAGUUGGGAGGAAGGGCAGUAAGUUAAUACCUUGCUGUUUUGACGUUACCAACAGAAUAAGCACCGGCUAACUUCGUG
rnacentral:rRNA from 1 species